GGGGGGUUAGCUCAGUUGGUAGAGCGUUGCUUUUGCACGGCAAAUGUCAUGGGUUCGAAUCCCAUAUUCUCCA
rnacentral:tRNA from 8 species